UGGGGAAUCUUGCGCAAUGGGCGAAAGCCUGACGCAGCGACGCCGCGUGAGUGAUGAAGGCCUUCGGGUUGUAAAGCUCUGUGGGGAGGGACGGAAUAGGUGGAGCCUAAUACGUUCCAUGAUGACGGUAUCUCCUUAGCAAGCACCGGCUAACUCUGUGCCAGCAGCCGCGGUAAGACAGAGGGUGCAAACGUUGUUCGGAAUUACUGGACGUAAAGCGUGUGUAGGCGGUCCGCUAAGUCGGGUGUGAAAGCCCUGGGCUCAACCCAGGAAGUGCACUCGAAACUGGCGGGCUAGAGUAUCGGAGAAGUUGGUGGAAUUCUCGGUGUAGAGGUGAAAUUCGUAGAUAUCGAGAGGAACACCGGUGGCGAAGGCGGCCAACUGGACGAAUACUGACGCUGAGACACGAAAGCGUGGGGAGCAAACAGGAUUAGAUACCCUGGUAGUCCACGCCGUAAACGAUGGGUGCUAGGUGUCGCGGGCUUUGACUCCUGCGG
rnacentral:rRNA from 1 species